GGGUUCCCGAGCUUGUUGUGUGGGAGAAUCUGGACCGGGUGAAUCCCAGGGUGCUGAGCAGCUCCGCAGCCUGCGACCUGCUCUGAGAAUCUCCCUCCACCACCGACGUGGUUGGGGACCGUCCUCUGUUCUUAUCUUGAUUAAUAUGAUGGUACAAGCCUCACUAAGUUACAACAUUUGUGUUUGUCGGGUGAGGUCCCGGGUGCAGCUGUGGCCCUCGCCCAGCAAGUAUUUCCCAAUACUGACAUCAUUUUAAUUAUGAGCGUCUCAGCAUUCCGAGUGCUGAAGUCUGCAGGUGUCAGGGACGCCCAGCGACAGAGCAACAGCGGUAGUAACACUGUUCCGGCGUUGGAAUGUGAGCAAAAACAGCAGAAUGUGGUGCUCUUGAGAAAGUCGGUCCUGAAAAAAUGAAUCCCUUAAAAUGUAAGCACCCAGCAGAGGCAGAUGCUCGGGCGUGGUGAAAAGAGGCUGAGCUCUGCAACGCAUCUGUGCCGCCGGACUCCCAUUGUCCGUUAAGAACAGAAACCUCUUAGCAGGACCCUUUUGAAAGCCCCAGGGGUGCUGGACCAGCAGAGGGGACACCCGGCUGAGGGCCUACAGGGCCACCACAAGGCUGAAGAGCAGGAGCUGGCAGAAGAAAUUCAUCUGACGAGAGGUCGGAGGAGCAGGACAGUUCCAGCCACAUGCGUCUCCCCCACGGGGCAGCGCUGGGCAGUUCGGCUGACACGGUGAAAAUCACAGGAAAGGAACCUGCUCUGAGACAGGGUUUUUUAAAAUGUCUUUUUGGCCCCUGGACCCUUAUGAAUAGGAAAAUGCCAGAGUCUGCAAAUCCCCUGCGAUCACUGGUCAGCUCAGAGCUGAGAUGUUUCCCCAACGAACACCUGGAGGGUGUAAAUCACCCUGCCAGUAAACACUUCAGGCCCCAAAGGGGCUCUGGUUGCAGGCGGGGUGGGGCGGCAUCCUCCCUCCCUGCACCAGGACCCGUAAACCAGGCACUGGUCCAGCACUGAUAAAUGCCCCUUUCACUGAAAAGACCCCCUCCUCCCAGUCUGGGAGCAGAGCCCCUUUAUGGAGGUUGCUCAGAUGGGGACAGUGUCCCCGCCACCCUCACCACUGAGUGGAUUUCUCUGGGCUGGUACCGGGAGUGAAGCUGUCAGGCGUUCAUGUGUUAUGAACGACUCUAUGAUACCUCGGGGUGGAGGGGAGGGGAUCUGGCACUUCAAGGUGGCUGACUUUGAAGGCAGCAUGCAAAGAUAAAAUUCAAGAUUUGUUUCUUAAAUAUUCAGAACAAUGGUAAUAAUGGAAACCGAAGGAUCCCUACAAAAUGUUUCCAAAUUUAGAAGAAAUAGAAGUGGCGUUCCCUCUUUUAAAACAUACUGAACUAAAAUAUGAAAAUAUUUUAUUGUCUUAGUAUUUCAUUGUCUUAAAAUCCUUGGGUCCUAGUGGACAAUCUUUUAGUGGUCACCAUUGUUAGAAAAAUCCCCAAAUGGGGGAAAAGCCGAGGGAAGACAGGAGAACGUAUCUCAAAAAGGGUCACCAAGGGCAGCGCCUGUGGCUCAAGAAGUAGGGUGCUGGUCCCAUAUGCCGGAGGUGGCCGGUUCAAACCCAGCCUCGGCCAAAAACCACACACAAAAAAAGGAUCACUAUAGGCUCGGCGCCCGUAUUACGGCUCCAGCCACAUGCACCAAGGCUGGUAGGUUCGAACCAGCCCAGGCCAGCUAAACAAUGACAACUACAGCAACAACAGCAAAAAAAUAGCCGAGCGUUGUGGCAGGCACCUGUAGUCCCAGCUACUUGGGAGGCUGAGACAGGAGACUUGCUUAAGCCCGAGAGUUGGAGGUUGCUGUGAACUGUGACACCACAGCACUCUACUGAGGGCAACAGAGAGACUCUGUCUCAAAAAAGAAAAAUAAAAAAUAAUAAAAUAAAAAAGGUUCAUUUUAGGAAUUUUGGGAAUUUCUUUCUCUUCUAAUGUUCUCCUUUAAAAACAAAAACCUCUCCGUAUAGUUCUCUGCUGAGGAGGAGUCUUCUAAAUGCUGUUUUCUGAAUUCAGCCAGACAGACACAAGGGCAAGUAUGAAGCAGCCCUGGGUAGAGGGUUUCAUGGCUCUGUCCCUUUCCACCCGCAGCACGGGUAAGAGAAAUGAAGGGAACUUGAGAGCAGUCACUCUGCCUCCAGAAUCAACCUGGCACCGAAGAAAAAUAAGCCGCAGAAAUUAUUCCUCGGCCUUAAGCGAAGCCAGAAUCAAGUGAUGGCUGAUCAGAGCAAAUAUUUAAAUUGGAUAAGUCAAAUGGAGCAUUAUUAAAUAAAGCUUGUGUUUAAUACGUCUCAAAC